CAGCAGCCACGGGAAUACGAAGGGGGCUAGCGUUGUUCGGAAUCACUGGGCGUAAAGCACACGUAGGCGGAUACUUAAGUCAGGGGUGAAAUCCCGGGGCUCAACCUCGGAACUGCCUUUGAUACUGGGUAUCUUGAGUCCGGGAGAGGUUGGUGGAACUCCGAGUGUAGAGGUGAAAUUCGUAGAUAUUCGGAAGAACACCAGUGGCGAAGGCGGCCAACUGGCCCGGUACUGACGCUGAGGUGCGAAAGCGUGGGGAGCAAACAGGAUUAGAUACCCCAGUAGUCCCUGUCUCUUAUAC
rnacentral:rRNA from 1 species